CGCGCAGCAGCGCCUCACGCGCCAGGAAAGAGUAUCGGACCACAAACAAAUAAACAAACACUGCCACCAAAAACAGGUAAAGGAUUUUGACUGCAGUUACAUCAGAAGAACACACGGCGGCGCCCGAGCGCCAUUCACCAGAACGAGAGGCAGUCUAUAGAAAUGAGAGGAAUCGCCCAAAGUAGGUCAGUCCUCGCUCUCCUGGGUCAAACACACCUUCCUAUCUGCGCAGUGAGCGCUUGACAUGAUAGCGUCAGCUGUGACAGCGUUCUGGAGCCUCGGGGUCCGGCGG